rnacentral:rRNA from 1 species
GGUUGAUCCUGCCAGUAGUCAUAUGCUUGUCUCAAAGAUUAAGCCAUGCAUGUCUAAGUAUAAACAACUUUGUACUGUGAAACUGCGAAUGGCUCAUUAAAUCAGUUAUAGUUUAUUUGAUAGUACCUUACUACUUGGAUAACCGUGGUAAUUCUAGAGCUAAUACAUGCGAUGAGGCCCUGCUUGUUGGGGCUGUAUUUAUUAGAUAAAAAACCAGCGUGGGGCAACCCAGUUUGCGGUGAUUCAUGAUAACUUUUCGAAUCGGAAGCCCUUGCGGCGCCGAUGGUUCAUU